AUGGUCGUCUCAUCCGUUCAGCUCUGUGUCGCCGGACUCCUCGCCGCGCAGCAUCACAACCGCGUACGCCUUCCAUGCUGCAGGCCGUGCCUAGCCGCCGUCCGGGAGGGCGAGGCCGUCCCGUCGCGCUGGAUGAAGCCGCACCGCGCCUCGCACCAGUCCGCUCCGCCGACGCCAAACGGAGAACCGCGCCAGGAUGCUGCGGUCGCGGCCGCUGCUUCGCCUCGUGCAGAAGUUCGCAUCCUCGUCGUCGUUGCUAGAGAGCCGGGCGUGUGGGUAACCACCGUCUUCGUGGGAUGGCGGACGUGGAUUUAUCCUAAGUUCCUAACUGGGUUGUGCGCGCAACCCAUAUCUCCCUCACUCAUCUUUCAUGCAUGUCACAUCAACUACAUGCUGCCAUGCACGAAUUGA
rnacentral:rRNA from 1 species